rnacentral:rRNA from 1 species
CAGUAGCCGCGGUAAUACGUAGGGUGCGAGCGUUAAUCGGAAUUACUGGGCGUAAAGCGUGCGCAGGCGGUUCGGAAAGAAAGAUGUGAAAUCCCAGGGCUUAACCUUGGAACUGCAUCUUUAACUACCGGACUAGAGUGUGUCAGAGGGAGGUGGAAUUCCGCGUGUAGCAGUGAAAUGCGUAGAGAUCGGAAGGAACAUCUGUGGCGAAGGCGGCCAUCUGGGACAACACUGACGCUGAGGCACGAAAGCGUGGGGAGCAAACAGGAUUAGAUACCCCGGUAGUCCCUGUCUCUUAUAC